rnacentral:lncRNA from 1 species
UAUUCACCACUCCAAACAUUUCAGAUUGACCCAUACAGAUCCGUUCAUCAAAUUGAUCACCAAUCCGUUGUGAGAUUUUAAAAAUUUGAAUUGUCCAAAAAUCACUAGAACUCCUGAGUCGCUUUAACCACGAGAGAUUCAGCGCCCCCCACAUACCUUGUAUGUGCGUAGAACUAAGAUCCCAGCGAGUUGUUCGGGCAGGAAUGCUCGACCUUGAAAUGUAUGCUAUUGCAUGCACCCAUACUAAAUCUUUCUUUAAUUUAUAUAUGCUCUCACAUAUCAUCUUUGAAAAAAGGACAUAUCUCAACAGAUGGAACGUUUUUUCGAGUAUACUGAUUUAUAGCCUUCAUUUUUUCAUAUCUGCAUCGGCACUGCAGCUAGAAACUUCAAUUCUUAGAAGAGUGAAAGACUUGACAAAAUCUAAUUCGCUAAGACCAUCCCAUGUCUUAAGAUAGUCGUCACAUUUGGAUAAGAUGUUGAUGGAGAGUCCUGGAUUUUUUUUGAAAUCCUGAAUGACUGAUGGUGCAGGAGAUGGGAUAUGCCAUUUUUUCUUGUAUUCCUGUUAGAAACCUUCAAGACUGGAUUUGGAGUUGAUAAUCUCGUUUAAUCCUUUCAUUGCGAUUAGAAAGAUAGAUGGCGAAAGCAAAUCUCCUUGCCGAACUCAAUGCAGAAUGCAAAACUUUGAGUGAGAUCCGGAAAUAUCAAUGCUCGAUAAUGAGUUUCUAUGAAUAGUCGAGACUAUGUUAACAAACCCAUCUUGCAGUCCGUACCUGUAUAGCUGUAUGACAAUGAACUUGUGUGAGACAAUAUCGAAUGCCUUUUCGAAGUCGACAAAAAUUGUAGCGUACUUGGAUGAUGCACAUAAGUCAAAACCAUCUUGUAUAGAGUGCGCUAUGUUCACUAGCAGGCGGGACGCCAUAAAUCCUUUUUGAUCUGUUGAUAUAAUGUACGGAAUAAUUUUGGGAAGUCUUUGACUCAAUAUUCUGGACUAAAGUUAAAGAUCCACUUCGUCGAGGAUUGGAGAAAGUAAAUUUUUAAACCUUUUGAAAAAUUCAAAAGGCAACACUGAUGGUCCAGGAUUUUUAAAUUUUUUGUCAUGUCUAAAAGAUCCAAAUUUUUAAACAACAAAGGUUUCCAUUUUGUUGGAUCUUUAUAAAUCAUCUAGUUCAAACAGAAGUCAUAGAGUCUCUUCGACUUGCAGACCAAACAACUAUAGAAUUUGGAGUAAAAUCUGCAUAUUUUCUCCGAGUCAUCCAAUAUUUCGCCUUAGAAAGUUAUAUGGAAGUCAUUCUUCUUCCGGGAAGCGAUUUUUUUCAGAUGUUUGAAGGAAUAUUUCCCUUUCACAUUCAACUCCAGCAUUUUAUUCCUUAUUCUUAUUAGUGUUCCCAUGUUUUCUAUUCUAUAAUCUCCUCCAAUUUUGCAUUCGUAGUAUUAUUAUCAUCCCUCAUUUUUUCCAGACGUCUCUUGGUUUUAUUUCUUUCGAAGGCACCCUAUUUUCCUUGCUAAAUUUUCGAUAUUUCUUUGGUAAUCCCAUGAAGAGAUUAUACCAGCAUCAUACUAAUAAUCUGUUUCUUAUAAUAAUUUCACAUAUCUCGUUACAAGUUCAUUUUGCUGCUAGGAGAGACGCAUUCAUUUUCUAUAAGGAUCUUCGAGGCUUCGAUGGAUUAUUGAAUGCUGCAAAAACUGGAGAAUCGUCAGAAAUGAACACCAUAAACUCUGCCAAAAGAUUCGCAAAUCUACUUGAGGACAAAACAUUAUCAAGUCGACUUAUAAUUUUGUUACCAGAUCUUGUAAUCCCUGUAAAAAUCUUUAGCGCUGCUUUUGUUACAAGAACCCCCAUAACCAGAGGAGUGACGUGACGGUUAGCGGGUAAUGUUGAGUUCGCCCACUAUUAGACACUCAUUCUCCGAUUUCGGGUCAAAUUUUUUCGUUAUGUUAGAGAACUAAAGCUUGGAUUCGAAGUUUGGACCAUAUAAUGCAUAUAGUGUUGUUUUUCUUCCAAGAAAGUCCAACUCGAUUACUAAAUAAUUCCCUUCAGGGUCUUACUCUCUCAUCUGAGGACUAAGCGACUUUUUUAUGAGAACAAUUAUUCCUCUAGAAGGAUGGCUUGUCUUUCUCGUUGCCUUUGUGGAGGAGAAGGAAUGAAUUCUCGGAAAAAGGUGGACAAUGUCAUUUAUAUCUUCACGCCUUGUAUCAAUU